rnacentral:rRNA from 1 species
UGAGUAACACGUGGGAACGUGCCUUUAGGUUCGGAAUAACUCAGGGAAACUUGUGCUAAUACCGAAUGUGCCCUUCGGGGGAAAGAUUUAUCGCCUUUAGAGCGGCCCGCGUCUGAUUAGCUAGUUGGUUGAGGUAAUGGCUCACCAAGGCGACGAUCAGUAGCUGGUCUGAGAGGAUGAUCAGCCACAUUGGGACUGAGACACGGCCCAAACUCCUACGGGAGGCAGCAGUGGGGAAUCUUGCGCAAUGGGCGAAAGCCUGACGCAGCCAUGCCGCGUGAAUGAUGAAGGUCUUAGGAUUGUAAAAUUCUUUCACCGGGGACGAUAAUGACGGUACCCGGAGAAGAAGCCCCGGCUAACUUCGUGCCAGCAGCCGCGGUAAUACGAAGGGGGCUAGCGUUGCUCGGAAUUACUGGGCGUAAAGGGAGCGUAGGCGGACAUUUAAGUCAGGGGUGAAAUCCCGGGGCUCAACCUCGGAAUUGCCUUUGAUACUGGGUGUCUUGAGUAUGAGAGAGGUGUGUGGAACUCCGAGUGUAGAGGUGAAAUUCGUAGAUAUUCGGAAGAACACCAGUGGCGAAGGCGACACACUGGCUCAUUACUGACGCUGAGGCUCGAAAGCGUGGGGAGCAAACAGGAUUAGAUACCCUGGUAGUCCACGCCGUAAACGAUGAUUGCUAGUUGUCGGGAUGCAUGCAUUUCGGUGACGCAGCUAACGCAUUAAGCAAUCCGCCUGGGGAGUA